ensembl:lncRNA
CGGGAAAGGAGGCGGUUGGUCGCCAUUUUGGGAGGCGGGCGGUUGAGGGCGGGCUAGGGUAAAGACGAAACCCAGGAAGGGUGUGAACGACAAGGGUCGUUCCCUGGCGCGACCCACACCCCCAGGCUGAGGUCUGCUGCCUUGCCGGUGUUUCAGGAGGGCAGCGUUAGAAUGCAGUGGCCCAACAUCCCCUACUCCUUGUGGGCCUCGCCAUGACGCACAGCCCCGCGGUGGGGCCGCGCUAGCUGGUCGUGGCCCCUGGAGGGCCGCCCGCGCAUCCGCAAGCACGCGGGAGCACGGGGCACUAGGAUCAAGGAUUGCCUCCCUUUUUCCACCAAACUCCGAGCCUCGUAGGGGACUGCAGCGGCUUCAGUGCCGACUGGUCACGCAGUGGGAGCCACCAGCCACUGAGACCAGGAUUCAAUCCUCAGAAAUUGAACCCUGCCCAGUCGCCCACGGGGGCAUACGCCUGUAAUCUUAGCGCCCUGGGAGGCUGAGGCAGAAGGAUCGCAAAUUUGAGCCCAGCUUGGGCAAGUAGGCGAGACCUUGUCUAAAAGUAUAAAAGAACUGAGAAUGUACUGGAAGCUCAAUGUGAAGACCUUGGUUUCAAUUCCUAGUACUGCCAAAAAUAAAAUAAAAUAUUGAAAUUCCGAGGUCUACAGCGCCUGACGGCACAUUCCGGGUUGCCUGGGGUUAGGAAACUGACCUUGACCAAUGAGGAGCGUGAGGGAUCUUACUGAGGUCCAUAGAGACUUCCUGGGGUGAUGACCUUGAGCAGAGACCAAGAGGAAAUACAGAAGAGAGCUACAAUAUCUGGGGACAAGAGAAGGGGCAGCAAGUGCAAAGGCCCUGAGGCAGGAAGAACUGGGACCCUUUGAAAGACAACAAAGAGACCGAUGUGGGUAGAACCAUGUGAAUAAAGAAAAGGAGAACAAAGGACACAUCAUGUUAAGGACAAUGACUCAUCUUGCUGGGAGACCACAGAAAAUGGAAAGCCUCACUGGGUCAUGCAGUGCUGAUCAGAUGCUGG